rnacentral:rRNA from 1 species
CAGUAGCCGCGGUAAUACGUAGGGUGCAAGCGUUAAUCGGAAUUACUGGGCGUAAAGCGCACGCAGGCGGUCUGACAAGUCAGAUGUGAAAUCCCCGGGCUUAACCUGGGAACUGCAUUUGAAACUGUCAGGCUGGAGUCUUGUAGAGGGGGGUAGAAUUCCAGGUGUAGCGGUGAAAUGCGUAGAGAUCUGGAGGAAUACCGGUGGCGAAGGCGGCCCCCUGGACAAAGACUGACGCUCAGGUGCGAAAGCGUGGGGAGCAAACAGGAUUAGAUACCCCUGUAGUCCCUGUCUCUUAUAC